UGGGGAAUAUUGGACAAUGGGCGCAAGCCUGAUCCAGCCAUGCCGCGUGAACGAUGAAGGCCUUAGGGUUGUAAAGUUCUUUUGUCAGGGAAGAUAAUGACGGUACCUGAAGAAUAAGCACCGGCUAACUUCGUGCCAGCAGCCGCGGUAAUACGAAGGGUGCUAGCGUUGUUCGGAAUCACUGGGCGUAAAGCGCGCGUAGGCGGCUUAACAAGUCAGAGGUGAAAGCCUGGAGCUCAACUCCAGAACUGCCUUUGAAACUGUUAAGCUUGAGUAUCGGAGGGGAUAGCGGAAUUUCUAAUGUAGAGGUGAAAUUCGUAGAUAUUAGAAGGAACACCGGUGGCGAAGGCGGCUAUCUGGACGACAACUGACGCUGAGGCGCGAAAGCGUGGGGAUCAAACAGGAUUAGAUACCCCCGUAGUCCCUGAGCGGGCUGGCAAGGCGCAU
rnacentral:rRNA from 1 species